GACGAACGCUGGCGGCGUGCUUAACACAUGCGAGUCGAACGGAAAGGCCCUGCUUUUGUGGGGUGCUCGAGUGGCGAACGGGUGAGUAACACGUGAGUAACCUGCCCUUGACUUUGGGAUAACUUCAGGAAACUGGGGCUAAUACCGGAUAGGAGCUCCUGCUGCAUGGUGGGGGUUGGAAAGUUUCGGCGGUUGGGGAUGGACUCGCGGCUUAUCAGCUUGUUGGUGGGGUAGUGGCUUACCAAGGCUUUGACGGGUAGCCGGCCUGAGAGGGUGACCGGCCACAUUGGGACUGAGAUACGGCCCAGACUCCUACGGGAGGCAGCAGUGGGGAAUAUUGCACAAUGGGCGGAAGCCUGAGGCAGCAACGCCGCGUGCGGGAUGACGGCCUUCGGGUUGUAAACCGCUUUCGCCUGUGACGAAGCGUGAGUGACGGUAAUGGGUAAAGAAGCACCGGCUAACUACGU
rnacentral:rRNA from 1 species